rnacentral:rRNA from 1 species
AGCAGCCGCGGUAAGACGUAGGGGGCGAGCGUUACCCGGAUUCACUGGGCGUAAAGGGCGUCUAGGCGGUUCGGCAAGUCGCCUGUGAAAGCCCCUGGCUCAACUGGGGGAGGUCGGGCGAUACUGCCGGGCUAGAGGGCGGCAGAGGAAGGUGGAACGGCCAGAGUAGCGGUGAAAUGCGUAGAUACUGGCCGGUACCCCGAUGGCGAAGGCAACCUUCUGGGCCGUCCCUGACGCUGAAGCGCGAAAGCGUGGGGAGCAAACCGGAUUAGAUACCCGGGUAGUCCACGCCCUAAACGAUGUGGGCUAGGUGUCGGCCCGUCACUGGGUUGGUGCCGCAGCUAACGCGUUAAGCCC